GGGCGAGUAGCUCAGCUGGUUUAGAGCACCUGCCUUACAAGCAGGGGGUCACAGGUUCGAAUCCUGUCUCGCCCA
rnacentral:tRNA from 1 species